rnacentral:rRNA from 1 species
UACGUAGGGUGCAAGCGUUAUCCGGAAUGAUUGGGCGUAAAGCGUCCGCAGGUGGCAGUUCAAGUCUGCUGUCAAAGACCGGGGCUUAACUUCGGAAAGGCAGUGGAAACUGAACAGCUAGAGUAUGGUAGGGGCAGAGGGAAUUCCUGGUGUAGCGGUGAAAUGCGUAGAGAUCAGGAGGAACACCCGUGGCGAAGGCGGCCCUCUGGCUCGACCCUGACGCUGAGAGGCGAAAGCGUGGGGAGCGAACGGG